rnacentral:rRNA from 1 species
UACGUAGGGCGCAAGCGUUGUCCGGAAUUAUUGGGCGUAAAGAGCUCGUAGGCGGCUUGUCGCGUCGAAUGUGAAAACCCACAGCUCAACUGUGGGCUUGCAUUCGAUACGGGCAGGCUAGAGUUCGGUAGGGGAGACUGGAAUCCUGGUGUAGCGGUGAAAUGCGCAGAUAUCAGGAGGAACACCGGUGGCGAAGGCGGGUCUCUGGGCCGAUACUGACGCUGAGGAGCGAAAGCGUGGGGAGCGAACAGGAUUAGAAACCCGUUGUACGUCA